AUUAAGUUGACGAGUCUAAAAUGGGACGAAACGUGCGUCCUAGAU
rfam:Schistosoma curassoni strain Dakar, Senegal genome assembly, scaffold: SCTD_scaffold0001340